rnacentral:rRNA from 1 species
UACGAAGGGGGCUAGCGUUGCUCGGAAUCACUGGGCGUAAAGGGUGCGUAGGCGGGUCUUUAAGUCAGGGGGGAAAUCCCGGAGCUCAACUCCAGAACUGCCUUUGAUACUGAAGAUCUUGAGUUCGGGAGAGGUGAGUGGAACUGCGAGUGUAGAGGUGAAAUUCGUAGAUAUUCGCAAGAACACCAGUGGCGAAGGCGGCUCACUGGCCCGGUACUGACGCUGAGGUGCGAAAGCGUGGGGAGCAAACAGG